rnacentral:rRNA from 1 species
CUAGCCGUAAACGAUGGACACUAGGUGUCGGGGGUGUCGACUCCCUCGGUGCCGAAGCUAACGCAUUAAGUGUCCCGCCUGGGGAGUACGGCCGCAAGGCUAAAACUCAAAGGAAUUGACGGGGGCCCGCACAAGCAGUGGAGCAUGUGGUUUAAUUCGACGCAACGCGAAGAACCUUACCUGGGCUUGACAUGUACGUGGUAGGAAUCUGAAAGGUGACCGACCCUUCGGGGAGCGUACACAGGUGG